rnacentral:rRNA from 1 species
GAGUUUGCUCCUGGCUCAGAACGUACGCUGGCGGCACGCCUAACACAUGCAAGUCGAACGCAGUAGCAAUACUGAGUGGCAGACGGGUGAGUAACAUGUGGGAAUCUGCCUUGUGGUUCAGGACAACAUUGGGAAACCGAUGCUAAUACUGGAUAAGCCCUUACGGGGAAAGUUUUAAUGCCAUAAGAUGAGCCCGCAUUUGAUUAGUUAGUUGGUGAGGUAAUGGCUCACCAAGACAAUGAUCAAUAGCUGAUCUGAGAGGAUGAUCAGCCACACUGGGACUGAGACACGGCCCAGACUCCUACGGGAGGCAGCAGUGGGGAAUCUUGCACAAUGGAGGAAACUCUGAUGCAGCGAUGCCGCGUGAGUGAAGAAGGCCUUUGGGUUGUAAAGCUCUUUUGUAGGGGAAGAUAAUGACUGUACCCUAAGAAUAAGGUCCGGCUAACUUCGUGCCAGCAGCCGCGGUAAUACGAAGGGACCUAGCGUAGUUCGGAAUUACUGGGCGUAAAGCGCGCGUAGGCCGUUGAGUUAGUUAAUUGUGAAAUCCCAAAGCUUAACUUUGGAACUGCAAUUAAAACUGCUCGACUAGAGUUUGAUAGAGGAAAGCGGAAUACAUAGUGUAGAGGUGAAAUUCGUAGAUAUUAUGUAGAACACCAGUUGCGAAGGCGGCUUUCUGGAUCAACACUGACGCUGAGGCGCGAAAGUAUGGGUAGCAAAGAGGAU